UUCUAAUAUGGUCUAGUGGUUAGAAUUCCUGGUUUUCACCCAGGUGGUCUGGGUUCAACUCCCAGUAUGGAAA